CAGCCGCCGCGGUAAUACCGGCGGCCCGAGUGGCGGCCACUAUUUUUGGGCUUAAAGCGUCCGUAGCCGGGUUGGUUAGUCUCCCGGGAAAUCUGGCCGCUUAACGGUCAGAAUUCCGGGAGAUACUGCCAGCCUAGGGACCGGGAGAGGCCGAGGGUAUUCCCGGAGUAGGGGUGAAAUCCUAUAAUCCCGGGAGGACCACCUGUGGCGAAGGCGCUCGACUGGAACGGGUCCGACGGUGAGGGACGAAGGCCAGGGUAGCAAACCGGAUUAGAUACCCGGGUAGUCCUGGCUGUAAACGAUGCGGACUUUGUGUCGGACAAGCUAUGAGCUUGUCCGGUGCCGGAGGGAAACCGUUAAGUCCGCCGCCUGGGGAGUACGGCCGCAAGGCUGAAACUUAAAGGAAUUGGCGGG
rnacentral:rRNA from 1 species